AUGACCUCUGCUGCUUUGAAAAAUUGCAUUUUUGGUAUUUUCCUGUUUCAGGGCGCCUCUGGAGCAGCGGGCAGUGUCGGCAGUCAAGGACUGACGGGUUUUCAAGGAAUAGCUGGGGAAAGAGGAGCAGAUGGUCCAGAAGGUUCUCCGGGUCCACCAGGAAUGAUAGGACCUCCAGGCUUACCAGGACCCCCAGGAGAUAGGGGUUUCACAGGAAUGCCUGGCACCGAGGGACCUCAGGGCCCCUUAGGC
rnacentral:lncRNA from 1 species